rfam:Trichosporon asahii var. asahii CBS 8904 unplaced genomic scaffold scaffold00066, whole genome shotgun sequence.
GGUCGCGUGGCCCAAUGGCAAGGCGUCUGACUACGACUCAAGGCCCUCACGGAUCCAACUGAGUGUACCUAUCAGGAGAUUGCGGGUUCGAUCCCCGUCGUGACCU